rnacentral:rRNA from 1 species
UACGUAGGGGGCAAGCGUUAUCCGGAAUUACUGGGUGUAAAGGGUGAGUAGGCGGCAUGGUAAGCCAGAUGUGAAAGCCUUGGGCUUAACCCGAGGAUUGCAUUUGGAACUAUCAAGCUAGAGUACAGGAGAGGAAAGCGGAGUUCCUAGUGUAGCGGUGAAAUGCGUAGAUAUUAGGAAGAACACCAGUGGCGAAGGCGGCUUUCUGGACUGAAACUGACGCUGAGGCACGAAAGCGUGGGGAGCGAACAGG